AUGAGGUGGGUGGCCCUGUUCCUGAACGGCAGCCCCAAGAAGGGAAAGGUGGUUGCUGUAUGUGGAACUUUAUCUGAUUUGCUUUCUGUGGCCAGUGGUAAACUUGGCAUAAAAGCCACCAGUGUGUAUAAUGGCAAAGGUGGACUGAUUGAUGAUAUUGCUUUGAUCAGGGAUGAUGAUGUUUUGUUUGUGUGUGAAGGAGAGCCAUUUAUUGAUCCUGACAGAUUCUAAACCACCUGAGGGAUUGUCAGGAUUCCACAUAGACUGGCUAACAUUAAAUGCUGGAGGGGCGGUACUUUACAACCACACAGAGCACUUUAGUGAAUAAAGAACCUGAUAGUAUGCUGGCCCACAUGUUUAAGGACAAAGAUGUCUGGGAAAUAAGCAAGAUCACAGAGGAGCUUUCUUAAUUGACCGAAGUCCUGAGUACUUUGAACCCAUUUUGAACUACUUGUGUCAUGGAGAGCUUAUUGUACAUGAUGGCAUUAAUUUAUUGGAUAUGUUAGAAGAAGCAAGAUUUUUUGUAUUGACUCAUUGAUUGAACACCUAGAAAUGGCAAUAAAGAAUUCUAAACCACCGGAGGAUCAUUCACCAAUAUCCUGAAAGGAAUUUGUCUGAUUUUUGCUGGCAACUUCAAUCAAGUCAGAACUGCGAUGCCAAGGUUUGAACUUCAGUGGUGCUGAUCUUUCUCAUUUGGACCUUUGAAACAUUAACUUCAAAAUGGCCAGUUUAAGCCGCUGCAGUCUUGCACAUGCAAAUCUUUGCUGUGCAAAUCUUAAACAAGCUGAUCUCUCUGGAUCAGUGCUUGACUGUGCAAAUCUUCAGGGAGUCAAGACACUCUGUUCUAAUGUAGAAGGAGCAUCCCUGAAACUGUGUAAUUUUGAGGAUCCUUCCGGUCUUAAAGCCAAUUUAGAAGGUGCUAACCUGAAAGGUGUGGAUAUGGAAGGAAGUCAGAUAACAGGAAUUAACCUGAGAGUGACUACCUUAAAAAAUGCAAAGUUGAAGAACUGUAACCUCAGAGGAGCAACUCUGGCAGGAACUGAUUUAGAGAAUUGUGAUCUGUCUGGGUGUGAUCUUCAAGAAGCCAACCUGAGAGGGUCCAACAUGAAGGGAGCUAGAUUUGAAGAGAUGCUAACACCACUACACAUGUCACAAAGUGUUAGAUGA
rnacentral:lncRNA from 1 species